UACGUAGGUGGCGAGCGUUAUCCGGAAUUAUUGGGCGUAAAGAGCGCGCAGGUGGUUCAUUAAGUCUGAUGUGAAAGCCCACGGCUUAACCGUGGAGGGUCAUUGGAAACUGGUCGACUUGAGUGCAGAAGAGGGAAGUGGAAUUCCAUGUGUAGCGGUGAAAUGCGUAGAGAUAUGGAGGAACACCAGUGGCGAAGGCGGCUUCCUGGUCUGUAACUGACACUGAGGCGCGAAAGCGUGGGGAGCAAACAGGAUUAGAUA
rnacentral:rRNA from 1 species